UCACAAGGACAUAGGUAUAGUAAGAAAAAGAAUAUAUAAAAUCAUAGAGCAUGGAAGUCGGUAAAAGCCGACACAGCCACCGCUACUGUAAUGACUACUGAAACACUGGCCAUAAAAGGCGAAUCACUGAUGAAAAUCGGGAAGAUGUGUAGAGGGUUGAUGUCUAAGUCAGGAUACUUGCUUUAUGAUUUGUUGAUUCC
rnacentral:ncRNA from 1 species